CCUGCAUGUAGCUCCUCCAUUAUCAGGGCUCACAAGCUGCUUCACCGCACUUCCCAAUCAAUGUCUGGAUCACGAACUAUUCAUGGCUGGGAGCGAUUGACCUGAUGCAUAGCUGGAUUUUAAAUAUGGUACUGGCAAUGGAAAUCCCGGAAUUGGCUGGUACUUCCACUUCUGGUUAAAUGAUGGAUGGGUGCACCCUGAUUGACUGCAGUCAAGCAUUCAACUUAAAAAGAACCAGAACAGAGGCACAGAAGAGGAUCUUUAGAUGUCAUAAGUUGAACUUUGCAUACCACAAAAAAUCCAUUGAAUGCACUGGCCAUAUCUCAAAAAAAGGAUAUUUCAAGAUCACAGAGGACCAUUCAAAAAACAAGCACUG